rnacentral:misc_RNA from 1 species
GUAGGUGAACCUGCGGAAGGAUCAUUACAGAGUAUCAUGCCCUUCGGGGUAGAUCUCCACCCUUGAAUAACAUACCUUUGUUGCUUUGGCAGGCCCCAUUUCCAGUAGCUUCGGCUGCUGAGUGCCCGCCAGAGGACCACAACUCCUGUUUUUAGUGAUGUCUGAGUACUAUAUAAUAGUUAAAACUUUCAACAACGGAUCUCUUGGUUCUG